rnacentral:rRNA from 1 species
GGACCCGCACAAGUAGUGGAGCAUGUGGUUUAAUUCGAAGAUACGCGCAGAACCUUACCAACACUUGACAUGUUCGUCGCGACUUUAAGAGAUUAAAGUUUUCGGUUCGGCCGGACGAAACACAGGUGCUGCAUGGCUGUCGUCAGCUCGUGUCGUGAGAUGUUGGGUUAAGUCCCGCAACGAGCGCAACCCUCACUUUUAGUUGCCAUCAUUAAGUUGGGCACUCUGAAAGAACUGCCAGUGAUAAGCUGGAGGAAGGUGGGGAUGACGUCAAGUCCUCAUGGCCCUUACGUGUUGGGCUACACACGUGCUACAAUGGUAUCUACAACAGGAAGCAAUACCGCGAGGUGGAGCAAAUCCUAGAAACCGUGCCUCAGUUCGGAUUGCAGGCUGCAACUCGCCUGCAUGAAGCCGGAAUCGCUAGUAA